rnacentral:rRNA from 1 species
CCUACGGGAGGCAGCAGUGAGGAAUAUUGGUCAAUGGCCGGGAGCCUGAACCAGCCAAGUCGCGUGAGGGAUGAAGGUCCUACGUAUUGUAAACCUCUUUUGCCAGGGAACAAAGGCGGGGACUAGUCCCCGGAUGAGGGUACCUGAAGAAAAAGCAUCGGCUAACUCCGUGCCAGCAGCCCCGGUAAUACGGAGGAUGCGAGCGUUAUCCGGAUUUAUUGGGUUUAAAGGGUGCGCAGCGGGCCUGUUAAGUCAGCGGUAAAAGCACGGGGCUCAACCCCGGCGAGCCGUUGAAACUGGCGUGCUUGAGUUGGAGAGAAGUACGCGGAAUGCGCGGUGUAGCGGUGAAAUGCAUAGAUAUCAUACAGAACACCGAUUGCGAAGGCAGCUUACCAGGCUACUUCUGACGUUGAGGCACGAAAGCGUGGGGAGCAAACAGGAUUAGAUACCCCUGUAGUC